rnacentral:rRNA from 1 species
GCGAGCGUUAAUCGGAAUUACUGGGCGUAAAGCGCAUGCAGGUGGUUUGUUUAAGUUCAGAUGUGAAAGACCCGGGGCGUCAACCUCGGAAUAGCAUUUGAAACUAGGCAGACUAGAGUACUGUAGAGGGGGGGUAGGAAUUUCAGGUGUAGCGGUGAAAAUGCGUAGAGAUCUGAAGGAAUACCGGUGGCGAAGGCGGCCCCCUCGGACAGAUACUGACACUCAGAUGCGAAAGCGUGGGGAGCAAACAGGAUUAGAUACCCUGGUAG